UACGUAGGUCCCGAGCGUUGUCCGGAUUUAUUGGGCGUAAGGCGAGCGCAGGUGGUUUAUUAAGUCUGGUGUAAAAGGCAGUGGCUCAACCAUUGUAUGCAUUGGAAACUGGUAGACUUGAGUGCAGGAGAGGAGAGUGGAAUUCCAUGUGUAGCGGUGAAAUGCGUAGAUAUAUGGAGGAACACCGGUGGCGAAAGCGGCUCUCUGGCCUGUAACUGACACCGAGGCUCGAAAGCGUGGGGAGCAAACAGG
rnacentral:rRNA from 1 species